rnacentral:lncRNA from 1 species
ACUAUCACGAGAACAACACGGGAAAACUGUCCCCAUAAUCAAGUCAUUUCUCUCCCUAACAAGUGAGGAUUACAAUUCAAGAUGAGGUUUGGGUAGGAACACAAAGCCUGACCCUAUCCCACAGCAUGUCCAGGCUGCCCUAGCACCACCCAAUAGAAGGGAAAAUGGCAGAGGGAAAGUCCUAGUGGAAAGAGACCUCAGUCUCAGCUAAUUGUGGUGACAAUAUAUUGCUUUUGCAAAUUGUACAUAAACAUAUGACCAGGUGAAUGUAUCGCCAAGGCUCCUGCCAAGGCCUGGGAUGGAGGCCUAGAGAAGAUGCCCGAAAGUUUAUGCUGUGUGAGCUUCACAGAAGACCUGCCUUCCAUGUAUACCCAUUUUACAGGUGUCUGUGCGGUGCAGAAACUGUACAACUGUAUACAGUGACCAUUUCUACUCUGGGUCUCUAAACAAGGGCUGGUAUCGUUACAGAGACUGAAGACUGAGGAAGACCAUCUCUGUAGGAUGCCAAGGAUUGACUGGAGAAAGUCUGGGGUCCCUCUACCUGGGAUGUGAUUCAGUACCCAAUGGUGGAGCGGUCGUUGAGGAAUGAAGACACAUACAAAGGGUAAAGGAGCAGGUUGGAGAAGAAUGAAGUGCACAUCAACCAAACAGAAGAGAAGCAAUUUGGAGGAGGAAAAAAUCAGUUCUUCAUGAAAGGAUCACAUUGAUCUU